rnacentral:lncRNA from 1 species
GAAGAUUACGUUGAUGCAGGGCGGGAAUGUGUUCUCAAGUGGCUGUGUGUACCUCAACGAAGACCCAGCAAAUCUUGUCAGGGAGUUCGUGGCAGAAGACGAAGCCGCCAUCAAAGAAUCGAUUGAGGACACCACGGUGGGAAUAUUUGUCGUGAAAAAUGAUGCAACCAGUGGUCCAGAGGACGUGGGGAUUGUCCUGGAAGGCCUGCAGAUAAUGCAAGGACUGGACAACACUGCAUUAGCUGCUGCCAUAUUGUUUGGCCUAAUGUAUGUAUUGAACCUCAACUACCCUCCUGAGCUAAAGAACAUGUUUGAAGUGCGCCAAAAAGUUGUGAUGGAGCUGGACGGCACCACGCUCUCAAAGAAAGCCCAAGUUCUCAAAAACAGACUGAGUGAGCUGUUGUCCUAACCCUGCUCAUUGACUUGAUUCUGGACUGUACACAUGCAACUUUGCGGUUCUUUGUUCUUGUUCUUGCAGUAUUUACAUACAGCAUGUCUACUGUAUUAUCAAAUGAAUGUUUUCUCUGGAGCUCAUGCGUUCCCAAAAUGUGACUCGGAUUUGCUGUUUUCUCUUAAAGUAAUAGAGCUGCUGAAUGAGCAGUUGCCAUGGACUAUGUUUGCUCUGUGAAUGCACUUGUCUUUUGACAUGCACUCAUGCAGCUUUAGUUUUUCCUUCAUUCUUUUGGCAGUACUUAGAUUCUUGGAAGAAUUACAUUUUUCGUAGUAUUAAUGAUGUUUGUCUAGGUCUACUCAUUGUUUGUUGUGCGGUGAUUCAUUCAAAACACUGGCAGUACUUUUUUAUUUUAUUAUUUUAUUAGAAUUUUAUGCAAAGUAAAAAAAAACAUAAUGCAACCUAACAUGUUUUGGGAUUUCAGUGUUAAAAAUGUCUAGUGUUUUCCAAAAAUGUCCAAACUAUUGCUAUUUGAAGGUGGAGUCAGCGAUUAAGGGGAAUUCUUGUUGUCAAAAUCAGUGAAUAUCUCAUGAUGCACUACCUGUCCGUACUUAUGUGCUAUAAAUCUUUUGUUAGUGCUCAGCCUCUGUAAACCAAGGACCUAUGGACAUGCAAUUUGUAGGCAGGACAAGCAUUCUCCAGAGUCAGCUCUAAGUUUUACAUGCCUAACACUGGCUGUGCUAUUUUAUUUUAUUUCAUUUUAAUCGACCAAAGUAAUGGGAUUUCAGUGUUAAAUGUUGUAUUGGGAUUUCAAGCUUUGGGAUUUCAGUGUUAAAUGUAGUAUUUGAAAGAAAUACAAUAGAAAGUUGGUUAUUUGUGCCUUAUUUAGUCUCAUACUUACUUGAGCAGUAAGUAUGAGACUAAACAUUUAGUCAUACUUUUUCAACUUUUUUUUUACAUGUUUUGAAAGAUGAAUCACAUUAUUUUCUGUCCAUAUACUGUUAUAUUACAUCAAAUAUAAAUUAUUUUACAACCUUUUUCCAUUAAAAACCAGCUAAGAACAGCAAAUUUCUGUCCAUUUAAUCAGUAUUAUUCGUAAUACAACAUUUAUUUACCAUAUUUCUAGGUAAUUUCAUCGUUUUAAAAUGUGAAUGUUUCUAAUUAAACAUUAAAAACAACAUGAAAAUAAGGCAAAAUCUUGUUAAAAUUACAACUUUAAACUGUUUUAAAAUGUGAAUGUUUCUAAUUAAACAUUAAAAACAACAUGAAAAUAAGGCAAAAUCUUGUUAAAAUUACAACUUUAAACUGUUUUAAAAUGUGAAUGUUUCUAAUUAAACAUUAAAAACAACAUGAAAAUAAGGCAAAAUCUUGUUAAAAUUACAACUUUAAACUGUAUUUUAAUUAUGGAAAUUAACCGUAUUUUUACGAGAAAGAAAUUAUCUGUUAUUUCACAGUAUUUUUCUGGCACCCCAGCUGCCAGAAUAUUACCGUUUUUUUACGUUGUUUUUUUUUACAGUGUGUCCACGGGAAUACUGGUCCAAUGAGGGACAC